rnacentral:misc_RNA from 1 species
AAAAAAAAAAAUAAUAAUAAAGAGUAACAUUUGAAAAAAGAAGAUAAAAAAAAGUAAAAUUUAGUAGGAAUUGAACUUGUAAAUUUGCUGAUUAUGAGUUGGGUGUUUUAGCCAUAGCAGGGAUCUUUAUGCAUGGUGAAUAACCAAAUUUCAAUUGAAAUAAAGUCUUUUACGUAAGUAGUCUAUUUUUGGCUUAAAUUGGC